CCUACGGGAGGCAGCAGUGAGGAAUAUUGGUCAAUGGGCGUAAGCCUGAACCAGCCAAGUCGCGUGAGGGAUGAAGGUUCUACGGAUCGUAAACCUCUUUUAUAAGGGAAUAAAGUGAGGGACGUGUCCCGUUUUGUAUGUACCUUAUGAAUAAGGAUCGGCUAACUCCGUGCCAGCAGCCGCGGUAAUACGGAGGAUCCGAGCGUUAUCCGGAUUUAUUGGGUUUAAAGGGUGCGUAGGUGGGCUUUUAAGUCAGUGGUGAAAGUCUGUGGCUCAACCAUAGAAUUGCAGUUGAUACUGGGAGGCUUGAGUACGGUUGAGGCAGGCGGAAUGCGUGGUGUAGCGGUGAAAUGCUUAGAUAUCACGCAGAACUCCGAUUGCGAAGGCAGCCUGCUAAGC
rnacentral:rRNA from 1 species